UGUUCAGAGAUUCUAUAUGGAAAUGAAGGAAAGGAAAAAUGAAAGGAAAAAGAUGUAGAAUGAAACACAGAAAAAGGAGUUAACAGGAGAAAGGAAUUGCAGCAUAAGUAACCAGGAGGGAAGAGCUGAGCCAGUCCCUGAGAGAAGUCUGGCACACUAUCAAUGCACAAAAGCAGUGCAAUAAGGAAUAAUUCAAUCUAAACAACUUUGCUGUCCUUACUUUCCAAUAACUGCUCAGCCUGUACACCUCAGUUUUGACAGCAGAAAAGAGUUUUAAGGAAAGCAGUGGACACUUCUGUCAGAUCAUGAUCACUGCUCCUCGUGCUCCUCUCGGAAGUCAAACUGAAAGAAUGGGUAGCCAUGCCCAAGCCAUCCCCACAUAUUAAGGAUACAAAAUGAAUGGGAAAGAAAGGUUACAUCACACACUGCUAACUAUCAUGGUAGUUACAACUGAAUUAGAUUUCCAGCAGGACAGAAAGCAAAGCAAACAGAAAUGACAUAUAUAUGAAUACUAUAAAUAACCUACUACUGAUGAAGUGAUUUGUUCUGACUGGCUCACUUGACAUCAAGCGUGGCACAUUAUCUUGGCAAGUAUCUCAUUAGUCUUUGCAGGAGAAGCCUGGACUGUCAAGAGAAAGGGAAUACUUGCUACUCUUGAAAUGCAGUAUAUAGGGUAAAGUAGAAGAAAAUAAAAAAUCCUGCAGACACCACAUAUUUUCUUACAUUCUUUUUCUCUCUUAUCACAGCAUUUCCUUCAGUGAAAUAAGCAAGAUAAUUACAUCAUAGAAUAAAAUUAAAAUUCAAAUUUAAAUUCAAUUAAUUCAAUUAAGUAACUUCACUUUUAAAAAGCCACACAAAACUGUGAAGGAAGUAAAAGCUCCUCCAGCCCUCUCCUUUUGUUCUCUGAUUUCCAUUGCAUUCCAUUAAACCCUUCAACUUGCAAUGCUAAAUCACACUCCUGUAUAUGUAUCUCUGUCUCAAAAGAAAACAACUGUACUUCAACCCAUAAUUACUAAUAAUUCAGAAAACUGCAUGAAAAAUAUCUGCUGAUAUGACACCAUAUAUCCUUUAGCAUGAUGCAGUCUUUCACAGAAUCCAGUCAAUUCUUGUAUGAUAUGAGAGAGCAAGGCUCCUUUAUUCUGAGGUACAUUUUUAACUCAGAAAAAUGUGUGGAAGGGAGUGUGGAAAUCUGUAUCUGAACUUAUGGUUCUCAUCUUGAGCAUUGGGUAGAUGGAAAUUGUUCUGUCCUGCAUAGCAACUCCUUGAAUAAAGAUAAUUUGAUAAGGACUUUAUCCUUUAGUAAGAAAUGUUGUGGUAAGAGAUGGCAACAGAAACUUUUAUUCCUUAGUGCUUUCCAGACUUGUCUAGAGACUGACAGGUUUUCUUCUUCAUGAUGCUGCUUACAUUUUAUCACAUUUCUAUUAAAUCCUGAUUUUAUUUGGAAUAGAAACAGGCAUUUCAAAAUUAUUCACAGGGAAAAGUCUGCAAGAAAGGAACUGUCAGCUAAAACAUUCUGAUAAAAUUUGAAUUGACGCUGCUUCACGCUGUUGGGAUUAUUCCACCUUAAGUACUGUUAUGGUGACAUUGAAGAAUUAUUCUUUCACAAAGCCUUUACAUAUCAACAGAAGUUGGUUGAAAGAUGAAUUCACUGAAGCUUCUUGGGCUGAGCUCCAAUAUUUUUCUGUCUACAGCCUCAGUUCUUCUCUUACACAUUCGAAUGAAUAUUGUUUCACAGGAGAUACUGAAAGAAGCAUGGACUCCAUAGCAGUAAACUUAUAAAAAUAAAUAGGAGUGAAUGACUGAUUCUAGCUGAGCUGUAAAAAAAAAAAGUUUGUCAUAGCAAGUGUGAAUGCUGUGCAGAGGAAGGAACUAACUUAAGUGGGAAAAGUUACAUGCAUAGUUUUAAGUUUAAAAUAAGUUUUCCAAAAGAAGAUGUCCACAUCAUCUCACAUUUGAAAGGACUUCUCAAGCACAAGGUUAAAUUGCAUCAAAAACUCUGUGCUAUUUGGCAGUUAUGUGCCAAAUGGAAGGGGAUGAACACAAGAGCAACAUGUAACUUGUUGAUACAGGUACUCACCUCGCAAGAGGAAGGCAAAGCUCAUGUGACUCAGACUGAAGGGUUAGCUGGCCACAGAACUCCCACACCCCAGUGAUUUUGUGCAAGGAAGAAGAGCUGAGGCACCUAGAGAAGAGGACAAUGACAGCCUUUCUUUUUAAGGC